rnacentral:rRNA from 1 species
GCAGUCGAACGGUGAAGCCCAGCUUGCUGGGUGGAUCAGUGGCGAACGGGUGAGUAACACGUGAGCAACCUGCCCCUGACUCUGGGAUAAGCGCUGGAAACGGCGUCUAAUACUGGAUAUGUGACGUGACCGCAUGGUCUGCGUUUGGAAAGAUUUUUCGGUUGGGGAUGGGCUCGCGGCCUAUCAGCUUGUUGGUGAGGUAAUGGCUCACCAAGGCGUCGACGGGUAGCCGGCCUGAGAGGGUGACCGGCCACACUGGGACUGAGACACGGCCCAGACUCCUACGGGAGGCAGCAGUGGGGAAUAUUGCACAAUGGGCGCAAGCCUGAUGCAGCAACGCCGCGUGAGGGAUGACGGCCUUCGGGUUGUAAACCUCUUUUAGCAGGGAAGAAGCGAAAGUGACGGUACCUGCAGAAAAAGCGCCGGCUAACUACGUGCCAGCAGCCGCGGUAAUACGUAGGGCGCAAGCGUUAUCCGGAAUUAUUGGGCGUAAAGAGCUCGUAGGCGGUUUGUCGCGUCUGCUGUGAAAUCCCGAGGCUCAACCUCGGGCCUGCAGUGGGUACGGGCAGACUAGAGUGCGGUAGGGGAGAUUGGAAUUCCUGGUGUAGCGGUGGAAUGCGCAGAUAUCAGGAGGAACACCGAUGGCGAAGGCAGAUCUCUGGGCCGUAACUGACGCUGAGGAGCGAAAGGGUGGGGAGCAAACAGGCUUAGAUACCCUGGUAGUCCACCCCGUAAACGUUGGGAACUAGUUGUGGGGUCCAUUCCACGGAUUCCGUGACGCAGCUAACGCAUUAAGUUCCCCGCCUGGGGAGUACGGCCGCAAGGCUAAAACUCAAAGGAAUUGACGGGGACCCGCACAAGCGGCGGAGCAUGCGGAUUAAUUCGAUGCAACGCGAAGAACCUUACCAAGGCUUGACAUAUACGAGAACGGGCCAGAAAUGGUCAACUCUUUGGACACUCGUAAACAGGUGGUGCAUGGUUGUCGUCAGCUCGUGUCGUGAGAUGUUGGGUUAAGUCCCGCAACGAGCGCAACCCUCGUUCUAUGUUGCCAGCACGUAAUGGUGGGAACUCAUGGGAUACUGCCGGGGUCAACUCGGAGGAAGGUGGGGAUGACGUCAAAUCAUCAUGCCCCUUAUGUCUUGGGCUUCACGCAUGCUACAAUGGCCGGUACAAAGGGCUGCAAUACCGUGAGGUGGAGCGAAUCCCAAAAAGCCGGUCCCAGUUCGGAUUGAGGUCUGCAACUCGACCUCAUGAAGUCGGAGUCGCUAGUAAUCGCAGAUCAGCAACGCUGCGGUGAAUACGUUCCCGGGUCUUGUACACACCGCCCGUCAAGUCAUGAAAGUCGGUAACACCUGAAGCCGGUGGCCUAACCUUUUGGAGGGAGCC